CACCGCCCGUCACACCAUGGGAGUUGAUUGCACCAGAAGCAGGUAGCCUAACCGCAAGGAGGGCGCCUACCACGGUGUGUCAAUGACUGGGGUG
rnacentral:rRNA from 1 species